CCUACGGGGGGCAGCAGUGGGGAAUAUUGGACAAUGGGCGAAAGCCUGAUCCAGCCAUGCCGCGUGUGUGAAGAAGGCCUUCGGGUUGUAAAGCACUUUCAGUGGGGAAGAAAGCCUUGGGGCUAAUACCCUCGAGGAAGGACAUCACCCACAGAAGAAGCACCGGCUAACUCCGUGCCACAGCCGCGGUAAUACGGAGGGGUGCGAGCGUUAAUCGGAAUUACUGGGCGUAAAGCGCGCGUAGGCGGUCUGAUAAGCCGGUUGUGAAAGCCCCGGGCUCAACCUGGGAACGGCAUCCGGAACUGUCAGGCUAGAGUGCAGGAGAGGAAGGUAGAAUUCCCGGUGUAGCGGUGAAAUGCGUAGAGAUCGGGAGGAAUACCAGUGGCGAAGGCGGCCUUCUGGACUGACACUGACGCUGAGGUGCGAAAGCGUGGGUAGCAAACAGGAUUAGAUACCCUGGUAGUC
rnacentral:rRNA from 1 species